rnacentral:lncRNA from 1 species
GAAUCUAGGCUUAGAACACAGAGCUAGGUUUAAAUACCAGGGUCAACACUGAUGUAAUUUUAGGGAAAAAAAUGUUACAUUUUUGUUUAAAUUUAAUUGUGACUUAGAAAACUUGUUUUACCUUCCCACAUCUAAAUUUCAUCAUUAAGUGAUGUAUAUUAUUCCUAUAGAAUAAUAAUAGAAAGAGCUGAUAAUCAGUAGUGCUAUUUUAAGUAAUAGGUGAAUAGGAAAACAAUUUUUCAUCCCUAAAAUAAAUAUUAGUGAUCAUACAAAUGCCACAGCUUCUAUCCAUAAUGGGGAGUGGAUAGAAUAUUACAUCACUAGAAAGGAUACAAACUGAUGGUGAUAGUAAAAAAUUUUUUUUCAGAAUAUGAUCAAAGGAAAAACAACAAA